GACGAACCGUGCAAACGUUGUUCGGAAUCACUGGGCUUAAAGGGCGCGUAGGCGGGUUCCCAAGUCAGGGGUGAAAUCUUUCGGCCCAACCGGAAAAGGGCUUCUGAUACUGGGGAUCUCGAGGGAGGUAGGGGUCGGGGGAACUUCCGGUGGAGCGGUGAAAUGCGUAGAUAUCGGAAGGAACGCCGGUGGCGAAAGCGCCCGACUGGACCUCUUCUGACGCUGAGGCGCGAAAGCCAGGGGAGCAAACGGG
rnacentral:rRNA from 1 species